rnacentral:lncRNA from 1 species
GCCGCCACCUAUUGAAAGAAGCUCUCUUUUGUCCGACAAGGAUAGGAAAUAAAUCACCAUGAGAAACCUUUCUCACCAUGAAAGGUAGCAUGGAGGGCAUGAGAAAAAAUACAAGAGGGGUCAGCACCCUUUUGGCGUGAGAAAAAGUGAGAAAAGAAAAGAAAAAGAGGGAGAAAAAGGGUUCUUCUCCUAGGGUUUUUCUUGGUUCUCUUGUGCGUGCUUUUGAGAG